UAACAAGGUUAACCUGCGGAAGGAUCAUUA
rnacentral:rRNA from 1 species